AGUAUCGCAGGCGGGGACCAACAGAGGGUUACUUAUAGUCAUUUUGGUUGUUGGUUGUUAAGAGGCCACAAAGAAACAGACAUACAUACAUACUUACAUACACUCGAAAAACAUUACCCUCCUCCUUUGGCAGUCGGGUAAAAAUGAGUUCACUAA